AAUAAAAUAGCUAGGAAUUUGUGUUGUGUGGCAGUUGAGUGAACUCGUAGUGAGGAAGAUCAUUUUAUUUGAAGAAAAGAAAAAUGAAUCAUCAGUGUGAAAGAUGCAUUAGACUGGUGAUCAGGGUUUAGCUUCUACAAUUUCAGUUUUGUUGUGGUCUUAACCCUCGUAACCAUCUGAGGAGGCGGAAAUUGUACACAGCUCUCGACCAAUCAGAGGGCCUUAACAAACCCAUUUGAAUUCCCACAAUUAAAUGAUUGUAUGGAAGUUUGUAAGUAUUAAUUUUGAUUUGAUCUUUAUAUGAAAUGGGAGUAGACAUUUAUGCACAAAGUUUCAUCUCCAUGUUAAACAUAUUAUUUGUGCAUAUGAAUGUUAUUCUUACUACAAUGAAUCAGAUUAUAAAUAUAUAGAAUCCUUUCAAGCCCAGAAUUUUUGAGGUGAUGAUGAACUGUUAUCUAAACCACAUUUCUUUUAUAUGUUCUGCAAUUUUGGGUUAGCCCAAGAUUGUCUGUAGAAUGUCAAGGAGUUCUAAGUGUACUGUGAUGGUGUUACAAUUUUUGUAUUGCUUCUUGCAGUAUAUAUGAAGAAGGGAACAAAAACUUGCAGUGCUUCUGGGUGCUUGUCAUUCAGUAGACAGAAAGAAGUAAAAUUCUUCAACUUUCACAAGGAUGCAGGACGGUUUCAAGACAAUUUGUUCUACUUUUAGAGGGCAGUGGUAUGGGCAGGAAAAGUUGCAAUAUCCUGCACUAUUGAUUCUGAUAGACUGCUGCACAAGAAGCAUUCGUGCAGCAGACAUUUCAUGGAAAGUGAUUUCACUACAGGGAAAAAUAUAAUCAGAUGUACAAAAUUUUAUAAUGGCAGUCUCUUGUGUAAAGUAACGUGUUAUUUUCAAAUCUGAAAAAGUAUGGUAGUCCAUCAUGUAAGGAAGCCCACUAAUUUCCUUUUUAGUGUUCUUUCAGGAGGGUGUUGGGGUGAAUACCUGGCAACAUCUGUUUGAUCACCCCCCUGUGAAGAUAUUUGGAGCCAUUCAUUCGUACUCUGGUUCAAACAAUAACCCAGCUGUGGGACAUGUUGUAGAUGCCCUGAAGACUAGCAUCAUCAAUGCACUUUCUUUUAGAGGUCUGUCUGGGUGAAACUUAUUGUAGGGAUGAUGACGCUACUGUUCUGGAUAACCUACAGUCAUUGCUCAGGGAACAAAAUCUGUCCACAAAUCAUGGCAAGGAAAUACCUGAUGAUGUUUCAGAGUUUCUAUGUUACUCAUCAAGUACAGAAGGACAUAGGUGCUGCAGUACAUGCUGGUGACAUGGAAGUGUUCUCAGUAGCCAAUGUCAGUGGUACUGCUGCCAGACUGGUGCUUCAUGGUGUCAGCUGCGAUGCAUGCAAGACACUGUUGCCUUUACUGUUAUAAGGAUGGUGAAAUUUAGUGAAAGUUAGUGAAAUGCUGCAUGCUUAAUUGAUAAAUACUGUAUGUGGAGCAUGGCACGGCCCUUACAUGAUUAAGUUUUAUCCAAUUGUUUGCUAUCCACCUGGCUAGGUGCCUGCUUCCUCUCCCUCUACUUCUCAUUUUUGUGCAUCCUUCUCCUCUUAUUCCUCUCCUCAUACAAAGACAGUGCCUCCUGGAGCCAUUCCAAUAUUGAAAGUAGAACUAAACACCUCUGUUUUGGUUUUCCAACACAUAUCCUCAACCUAAUUUAUAGUAAUUUGCUCUCUUACGAAGUUUUGUCCAGUCUUUUGAUAUCUCCCAUGAUGCUGGUUUCCCGAAGUUGACUCCAUGUAAUACUAUUCACUGUGUGGUUCCUUCUAGAAAAGCCUACAGAUUUGUUAGAAAUCUUAUUUGUUUAACCUUCAGUCCUUCAUUGCCUGCCUUUUGCCGGGGAGGGGGGGGAGAGGGGUGCAAAAUCCAUAUUUGUAUCGAAACAGUACUGGUUUCCUAUGUGCAAUGAAUUAUGCUUGGGUAAGGACUCCAGAAAUGUGCUUCCCCUCUCACCACAGAUGAGUUAAUGAAGAUUACUGACUUGUGCAAUUUUUUCCUUUAUCUGAAUAUAUUAAAUAUUAAAUGAGAAUGAUUUAUUGCCAUGUGUAAUAUGCAGAAACAGAUGAAUAUAUUUCGGCACCCUUAUCAUAAGCUCUGACAUGGAGUCUUUCAGUAUCCCACAUGAAAUAUACUGCAAGACUACAGUCAGAUGGAACUUGCAAAGUUGCUGACAUGCCAUAUUACACAGGAGAGGGUUAUUCUUCGUGCAGGAUUAGUAAUUGUAUGUCUGUCUUUCAGUGCACUGCUUACCAGAGCAAGAGAUGAAAUACUUAGAUUUCAGAAUGAACUCAGAGUAGGGGAACUGCAUAACUGAAUAUGAGAGUGAACCACAUUCCCAGAGAGAGCAUGUGAAGGGAGAAAUCAUGAGUGCCCUGCAGAAAGAGUUAUAUGUCCAGAGAGGAGGAAGCAAAAGAUGCUGUUCCAAAGGAUGCUGCCAUGAUAAAGACAGUAUAAUCAGAGAGGAAGAGUUCAAACUUAGCCAAGCAUGGAAUCUCAGCACCAGAUUCUUAUGGCACUUGAAAACAUACAUCAUGAAAAUCCCAAGAAGACAGAGUACAGCAUCCUAGUGUGUGCGACAAUGAAAUGCAAAGUGUGUAAAUCAGAGAUAACACUGUAUUUCCUGUAUUUAAGUGUGAUUAAGAGAGGUUGUAACCAAAGUGAC